UUGAAAGGGAAACGAUUGAAGUCAGUCGUACCGGCGGGUAAUCAGCCUUUUGGGUGUGAUUAUGUGGAGUGUGAGGAGUUAAACACCCUCAUCUUUGCAUAUUCGUGCACUUUGGGUGUACUUGCUCGUGUGGUAGGUUAACAUCAAUUUUGAUCGUCAUAAAAUGAUUGGAGGAAUGUAGCUUCGAUCUCGUAUUGAAGUGUUAUAGCCUUCGGUAGAUGUGAUGAUUGGGAUUGAGGAUUGCAACGGAUACCCUUCGGGGCUACCUGUCUGAUCUCUGAAAGUUGCUCUGGUGCUGAAAG
rnacentral:rRNA from 1 species